ACGUGGGUUAAUUUAGUUCCACACGUAGGAGGCUAAUGAAUAUUAUUAAACCCAUUGCACAGAUUCACUUCAGUCUGCAAAUGACCCUAAUUUAACCUCCCUUAUUUGCUUUUAGGAAUUUAAAGCUGGGAGGAAAUCACUUGGUGAGUGUCACACAGCAACAGCCAUUGAAAGGCUGGAGUCCCGAGACCCUGCUUCCAACCCCACAGGCACCAUUUGCUUGUCAAAAAGCUAAUUCAAUAUAGAAAGGUCACGUUGCUUUUGUUUGUGAUGUGAUUCAACUAAUAUAAACUGUAAGGUUUUAAUCUCCUGUGCUAAUUUAAUUUACCCCCUCCCCCAGCUGUCAUCUUUCUUCCUUGAAAACCCAGAGUUUCUCCUGGUUUGUACCGUAAACCUUAAUUCCCUGUGACUUCAGUGUGAAGGUGCCAUCUCACCAUCGCUCUGAGCCGAUCCUUUUAGGAAGUUUAUGAGCCUUUCACUGGAUGAGGCCUGAGCUGAGAGUUUGUAAGCGUGAAGAGUCCACCUGCAGCCUACAUCGUAGCAGGGUUCACUGAAAUGCAGCACUUUCUUUUCCAUGGUAGUUUUGAAGAUAACCAGUCCUGGAUUGCCUGAUGUGAUGGUGGCCGGCAGAGCAAUUGUAGGUAAUGCUUAAGAGAUUCAUGUGGUUUAAUCGUUAUAAUUUUCCUGUGCCUCUGGGGCCUGCACGUUGGGCUCACUGCGUUAUCUAACCAAUUGCUAGGAUUGUGUUUUAAUGAUAGACACAGCAGGCUGCCUUUGAGCAGGGAGGUACAAAGGAAUCGGAGCAUCAUUAGAGGCGAGCGUUUCAAACACGCUCUGUAAUGGCCUGAUUUUUCUUCGAUUGAAGUCGAUGGUAAAUAUUCUGCUGACUUCAAAGGGAAGCGGGGUGAGGUUACAGCCAAACACUCUUGGAAAUCCCACCCAGUGCUUGGUUUUUCUUGACCUGAAGGCCAGUUCAGUCAGCUCUGCUUCCACAAAGGAGCUUUCAGGACUCCUGUAAAAGCCGCCGGAGUGAUUUUAGCCCUGGGUUCACAUGGUAGCAGCAUGUGAAUUGUGGCAAAUCUAGAGGACGAUUCAGCCCUCCCAAGUUCUGAUUUCUCUUCUGCAGAUGUCCGGCUGGCAUCGCUCCCGCUCUGUCCUCAUUGACUGUGGGGAAGUUUAGGGCAAUGGGAUUCCUAAUUAGGUACUCCAGUUCGGUGGGGUGAACUCCUGCAGUGAGACGGGAGGAUUUGGGGUACCCUCACAAAAACUUUGGCUUUGCUGUGCGUCAGCCAUGAGAACAAGCUGGCCUGUGUGCCUGGAAAAUCUUUACAUCAUCUCUGCAACCCAUGGCAUGAGCUGUGACUUUGUCUCUUCCCAUCACAGAGAAAAUGGUCUUGAAUUAAUUUUUCUUUUGUGCUGCUUCUUUUGUAAUUUUACACAUUUUUCUUUUGUGUUUCUGUAACACCGUAGUUACGAAGCUCUACGCGGGGUGGAAAAUCAGACUUUUCCAUACAUUUCCAAACAUUUCCAUAAAGUAGUUUCCUUUUAAAAUCAA